CAUACCUAUUCGAAGGGAUAGGGUCGGUUCGGCCGGAUUUCACACAGGUGUUGCAUGGCUGUCGUCAGCUCGUGUCGUGAGAUGUUGGGUUAAGUCCCGCAACGAGCGUAACCCUCAUCCUUAGUUACCAUCGGGUAAUGCUGGGGACUUUAAGGAAACUGCUAGUGAUAAACUGGAGGAAGGUGGGGAUGAUGUCAAGUCAUCAUGGCCUUUAUGGAGUGGGCUACACACGUGCUACAAUGGUGGCUACAAUGGGCUGCAAAGUCGCGAGGCUAAGCUAAUCUCUUAAAAGCCAUCUCAGUUCGGAUUGUACUCUGCAACUCGAGUGCAUGAAGUUGGAAUCGCUAGUAAUCGUGGAUCAGCAUGCCACGGUGAAUACGUUCUCGGGUCUUGUACACACUGCCCGUCACGCCAUGGGAAUUGGUUUCACUCGAAGCUA
rnacentral:rRNA from 1 species